rnacentral:rRNA from 1 species
GACGAACGCUGGCGGCGUGCUUAACACAUGCAAGUCGAACGGAAAGGCCCUGCUUGCAGGGUACUCGAGUGGCGAACGGGUGAGUAACACGUGGGUGAUCUGCCCUGCACUUCGGGAUAAGCCUGGGAAACUGGGUCUAAUACCGGAUAGGAGCCAUUUUUAGUGUGAUGGUUGGAAAGUUUUUUCGGUGUAGGAUGAGCUCGCGGCCUAUCAGCUUGUUGGUGGGGUAAUGGCCUACCAAGGCGGCGACGGGUAGCCGGCCUGAGAGGGUGGACGGCCACAUUGGGACUGAGAUACGGCCCAGACUCCUACGGGGGGCAGCAGUGGGGAAUAUUGCACAAGGGGCGCAAGCCUGAUGCAGCGACGCCGCGUGGGGGAUGACUGCCUUCGGGUUGUAAACUCCUUUCGCUAGGGACGAAGCUUUUUGUGACGGUACCUAGAUAAGAAGCACCGGCUAACUACGUG